AUCUGAGGAGACAAGGCAGGAGGCCGUGGCUGUCCUGGGACCUCCUCCGAGGCUUUCUCACUGGCUUUUCGGGACAUGGCUUCUGAAAAGAUUUUUGGCACCUGUAGUGAAAACACCUAAAGGGAGUAAAGAGAAUCUCAGUCUGCUUGGGAUAGAAGAGCGCAUGCUUUGAGGAACAAAACCCCACCACCCUCCACUGCUCCAGAUAUCGGCCAUUCGUACCAGGUGUGGCCCUGCCCAUUCAGCUUGGGUCUUGAUUUAACUCCUGGAGCCUUAUAAAAGCUC